AGUCUCAUGAUGCUUCCAAAUUUGAAUUCAAAAACAACCUACUCUAUUUUGAAGGAUGCCUAUAUGUUCCAUAAGGAGAAGCAUGUUUACAUUGUCAUAAUACGUGAAGUCUUGCUUGAGAAUGCUCUGGGCACUUGACUGUGGAAGGAAGAAUGGAAAUUGCAAUAAAAAAAUCUUAACUUUAAUAGAAUACUAACAAUGCUCUAAUUAAACCAUAAUAAUGCUAAGCAAGCUUAAUCAAAUUAAAAAAAAAACCUCAAAGAAAUUUCAAACAAACAAUAAGAAUUCUUAAAGAAAUAUUAGAAGGAUCACAAAUAUCACUCAAAUAUAUCUCAAUUCAAUCUUAAUUUAAUUCUAGUUAAAAUCCUAUUGAACUUUAUUCAAACUUUAGGCCAAAACUAAUUAAAUCUUAAAUCCUAAUAAAAUCCUAAACCCUAAAUCAAAUCCUAAACAAAUCUUAAACCAAAUCCCAACCAAAUCCUAAACCAAAUCCUAACCAAAUCCUAAACCAAAUUCUAAAUCUUAAAUCAAAUCCUAACCAAACUCUAAUCCAAAUCCUAAAUCCUAAUGAAACCCUAAAUCAAACCCUAAAUCAAACCCUAAACAAACCUUAAACCAAACCUCAACUAAAUCCUAAACCAAAUCCUAAUCAAAUCCUAACCAAAUCCUAAACCAAAUCCUAAUACAAACCCUAAAUCCUAAACCAAAUCCUAAUCAAAUCCUAAAUCCUAAAUCAAAUUCUAAUCAAACCCUAAAUCCGAAAUCAAACCCUAAUCCAAAUCCUAAA
rnacentral:lncRNA from 1 species